UGGGGAAUCUUGCGCAAUGGGCGAAAGCCUGACGCAGCGACGCCGCGUGGGUGAAGAAGGCCUGCGGGUUGUAAAGCCCUUUCGGUAGGGAAGAAAAGCCUCGACCUAACACGUCGGGGUAUUGACGUAACCUACUCAAAAAGCACCGGCCAACUCUGUGCCAGCAGCCGCGGUAAUACGGAGGGGGCUAGCGUUGUUCGGAAUUACUGGGCGUAAAGCGCACGUAGGCGGCUUUGUAAGUUAGAGGUGAAAGCCCGGGGCUCAACUCCGGAAUUGCCUUUAAGACUGCAUCGCUAGAAUCGUGGAGAGGUGAGUGGAAUUCCGAGUGUAGAGGUGAAAUUCGUAGAUAUUCGGAAGAACACCAGUGGCGAAGGCGACUCACUGGACACGUAUUGACGCUGAGGUGCGAAAGCGUGGGGAGCAAA
rnacentral:rRNA from 1 species